rnacentral:sRNA from 1 species
UAUGUGUAACCAGGUGAUGUGUUACCAGGGGAUGUGUUCCUAACAUAUGUGUAACCAGGUGAUGUGCUAAUAGAUCUAAUUAUUGCUAGGAGAGCUCAUUGAAGUAUUCGAUACAGGUAAACCCAAACCGGAAGUAGUGGACUACCGUUUCCUGAGCAACCACUUGGCGCUCCUCGAGGCAGACGCAGAGCAUAUUCAAAAGAAACUGAGCUGGAAAGAGGCAGAAAUCAAAUCAGUCCACAUGGAGUUAGAGGCCUUACGUAAACGUUUCAACUGCCCUGCUGAUCCCCAUUGUGUUCCGUGUUAUGAUCUACCGUGUGAUUGACAGAGGGUCACAACUGUUGCGAUUGACCUGGGGUCACAAUUGUUGCGGUUGACCUCUCCGAGUUACUACCUGGCAUAGGAAAUGCAGACUGUGUUACAAAACAGUUCAAGUCUGGUCUCUUAACUUAUUUUUUUUAAAUACAUGUAAAGUGUAUUCUUGAUG